rnacentral:rRNA from 1 species
UACGAAGGGGGCUAGCGUUGCUCGGAAUCACUGGGCGUAAAGGGUGCGUAGGCGGGUCUUUAAGUCAGGGGUGAAAUCCUGGAGCUCAACUCCAGAACUGCCUUUGAUACUGAAGAUCUUGAGUUCGGGAGAGGUGAGUGGAACUGCGAGUGUAGAGGUGAAAUUCGUAGAUAUUCGCAAGAACACCAAGUGGCGAAGGCGGCUCACUGGCCCGAUACUGACGCUGAGGCACGAAAGCGUGGGGAAGCAAACAGGG